rnacentral:rRNA from 1 species
AUUGAACGCUGGCGGAAUGCUUUACACAUGCAAGUCGAACGGCAGCACGGGGGCAACCCUGGUGGCGAGUGGCGAACGGGUGAGUAAUACAUCGGAACGUGCCCAGUCGUGGGGGAUAACGUAGCGAAAGUUACGCUAAUACCGCAUACGAUCUACGGAUGAAAGCGGGGGACCGUAAGGCCUCGCGCGAUUGGAGCGGCCGAUGUCAGAUUAGGUAGUUGGUGAGGUAAAGGCUCACCAAGCCGACGAUCUGUAGCUGGUCUGAGAGGACGACCAGCCACACUGGGACUGAGACACGGCCCAGACUCCUACGGGAGGCGGCAGUGGGGAAUUUUGGACAAUGGGCGCAAGCCUGAUCCAGCCAUUCCGCGUGCAGGACGAAGGCCUUCGGGUUGCAAACUGCUUUUGUACGGAACGAAAAGGCUCUGGUUAAUACCUGGGGCUCAUGACGGUACCGUAAGAAUAAGCACCGGCUAACUACGUGCCAGCAGCCGCGGUAA